UGGUGGGUAGUUUGACUGGGGCGGUCUCCUCCUAAAGAGUAACGGAGGAGCACGAAGGUUGGCUAAUCCUGGUCGGACAUCAGGAGGUUAGUGCAAUGGCAUAAGCCAGCUUGACUGCGAGCGUGACGGCGCGAGCAGGUGCGAAAGCAGGUCAUAGUGAUCCGGUGGUUCUGAAUGGAAGGGCCAUCGCUCAACGGAUAAAAGGUACUCCGGGGAUAACAGGCUGAUACCGCCCAAGAGUUCAUAUCGACGGCGGUGUUUGGCACCUCGAUGUCGGCUCAUCACAUCCUGGGGCUGAAGUAGGUCCCAAGGGUAUGGCUGUUCGCCAUUUAAAGUGGUACGCGAGCUGGGUUUAGAACGUCGUGAGACAGUUCGGUCCCUAUCUGCCGUGGGCGCUGG
rnacentral:rRNA from 3 species